rnacentral:sRNA from 1 species
AUCCGAUUCAGUGUCGCCGCGACCCCGUUA